GGUGAAGAACGCAGCGAAAUGCGAUACGUAGUGUGAAUUGCAGAAUUCAGUGAAUCAUCGAAUCUUUGAACGCACAUUGCACCUCUCGGUAUUCCGGGAGGUAUGCCUGUUCGAGCGUCAUUUGUACCCUCAAGCUCUGCUUGGUGUUGGGUGUUUGUUCCGCCUCUGUGUGUGAAGUCGCCUCAAAACAAUUGGCAGCCGGCGUACUUGUUUCGGAGCGCAGCACAUUUUGCGAUCCAGAUCAACGUACAGCGGCAUCCAAGAAGCCUUAUUUAACGCUCUUGACCUCGGAUCAGGUAGGGAUACCCGCUGAACUUAAGCAUAUCAAUAAGCGGAGGA
rnacentral:misc_RNA from 1 species